rnacentral:rRNA from 1 species
UACGUAGGGUGCAAGCGUUAAUCGGAAUUACUGGGCGUAAAGCGUGCGCAGGCGGUGAUGUAAGACAGGUGUGAAAUCCCCGGGCCUAACCUGGGAACUGCAUUUGUGACUGCAUCGCUGGAGUGCGGCAGAGGGGGAUGGAAUUCCGCGUGUAGCAGUGAAAUGCGUAGAUAUGCGGAGGAACACCGAUGGCGAAGGCAAUCCCCUGGGCCUGCACUGACGCUCAUGCACGAAAGCGUGGGGAGCAAACAGG